rnacentral:rRNA from 1 species
GACGAACGCUGGCGGCGUGCUUAACACAUGCAAGUCGAACGCUGAAGCUUGGUGCUUGCACUGGGUGGGUGAGUGGCGAACGGGUGAGUAAUACGUGAGUAACCUGCCCUUGACUCUGGGAUAAGCCUGGGAAACUGGGUCUAAUACUGGAUACGACAUGCCACUGCAUGGUGGUGUGUAGAAUGGGAUUUAGUGGUUUUGGAUGGGCUCACGGCCUAUCAGCUUGUUGGUGGGGUAAUGGCCUACCAAGGCGACGACGGGUAGCCGGCCUGAGAGGGUGACCGGCCACACUGGGACUGAGACACGGCCCAGACUCCUACGGGAGGCAGCAGUGGGGAAUAUUGCACAAUGGGCGGAAGCCUGAUGCAGCGACGCCGCGUGAGGGAUGACGGCCUUCGGGUUGUAAACCUCUUUCAGCACGGAAGAAGCGAGAGUGACGGUACGUGCAGAAGAAGCGCCGGCUAACUACGUG